UNCCAGGUUGAAAAGCAGAGCUGCCCUACA
rnacentral:piRNA from 1 species